rnacentral:rRNA from 1 species
AAGACCUUGCACUUUUGGAGCGGCCGAUGUCUGAUUAGCUAGUUGGUGGGGUAAAGGCCUACCGAAGCUUCGAUCAGUAGCUGGUCUGAGAGGACGGCCAGCCACACUGGGACUGAGACACGGCCCAGACUCCUACGGGAGGCAGCAGUGGGGAAUUUUGGACAAUGGGCGCAAGCCUGAUCCAGCCAUGCCGCGUGAGUGAAGAAGGCCUUCGGGUUGUAAAGCUCUUUCAGCCGGGAAGAAAAGGCUGCGACUAAUAAUCGCAGUUCAUGACGGUACCGGAAGAAGAAGCACCGGCUAACUACGUGCCAGCAGCCGCGGUAAUACGUAGGGUGCGAGCGUUAAUCGGAAUUACUGGGCGUAAAGGGUGCGCAGGCGGUUUUGUAAGUCAGAUGUGAAAUCCCCGGGCUUAACCUGGGAACU